CAAUAGCGUAUAUUAAAGUUGUUGCAGUUAAAAGCUCGUAGUUGGAUCUCGGGUCCAGGCUGGCGGUCCGACGCCUGUCGGUUACUGCCUGCUCCUGACCUACCUCCCGGUUUUUUCGCCCUUGGUGCUCUUGACUGAGUGUCUCGGGUGGCCGGAACGUUUACUUUGAAAAAUUAGAGUGUUCAAAGCAGGCAAUAUCGCCUGAAUAAUGGUGCAUGGAAUAAUGGAAUAGGACCUCGGUUCUAUUUUGCUGGUUUUCGGAGCUCGAGGUAAUGAUUAAGAGGGACUGACGGGGGCAUUCGUAUUACGGUGUUAGAGGUGAAAUUCUUGGAUCGCCGUAAGACGAACUACUGCGAAAGCAUUUGCCAAGCAUGUUUUCAUUAGUCAAGAACGAAAGUCAGAGGUUCGAAGACGAUUAGAUACCGU
rnacentral:rRNA from 1 species